rnacentral:misc_RNA from 1 species
GUGAAUCAUCAAAUUUUUGAACGCAAAUUGCACUCUCCGGUUUUCCGGGAGAGUAUGCCUGUUUGCGGUUCAGCCUAAAAAAAAAUCGACAUCGUUUCUGUUUCGCGGUGACGUGAGUCGGAAAUUGGGUCAUCUUAAACCUUUUGGUUUUUAAGCUACUUAAAAUUUUCUUUUGACCCCAUGAACGUUUCUAAUAUUUAUAUCUUUACAAGUUUAAGGGUAU